GUGCUUCGAGGCUCAGGUGACUUGGCCCCCUUGGCAGCAUCCAAUGCAUCUGGCCUCUGUCUCUUCAGUGCAGAUUCAAGUGCAACACGUACAGUAGUGUGACCCCUGUCGUCUCCAUGGUGGAUGUGCAUCACAGCAGUGCCUCUCCUGUGGUUUUGCUGUGUGCAGAGGUGAGCCCUGGCCUAGAAUUGUUUCCCCCAUGUGUAUCAUGUCUACUUUCCUCAGAAGGGUUGUUGCAAACAAAUGAGUGACUCUAGAGUACAGAGUACUUACCACCCUCCCCUUCCAGCUGGGACACCUGUGAUUUCAGGAAAGAAUACAGUCCAGGCCCUGGGAUCGAGCCCAAGUCGAGCUCCCUGCCUAGGGGAGGAAAGCCUGCUUCUCCCGCUGCCUCAGCCUGCCGCUCUGCAUAUUUGUGAGCUCUAUGUCUCUGGCAAAGAAGUGAAUACAAUUCUUACACGAUAAAUAAGCACAUUAAUAAAAAUGAAAUGUAAAUAAAAAUAUUUUAUGAUUUAUACAACAUAAUACUAUGG